UACGUAGGGUGCAAGCGUUGUCCGGAAUUAUUGGGCGUAAAGAGCUCGUAGGCGGUCUGUCGCGUCGGCUGUGAAAACCCGGGGCUCAACCCCGGGCCUGCAGUCGAUACGGGCAGACUAGAGGUAGGUAGGGGAGAAUGGAAUUCCCGGUGUAGCGGUGAAAUGCGCAGAUAUCGGGAGGAACACCGGUGGCGAAGGCGGUUCUCUGGGCCUUACCUGACGCUGAGGAGCGAAAGCGUGGGGAGCGAACAGG
rnacentral:rRNA from 1 species